UGCUGAAUGAAAAGUCAGUUGCAGUAAGUCCACACAUAAAGAAAAUACCUGGAAUAUGUAGUUACUCAAAAUACAAUAUAAAAGGGAAAAAAACCCGAUAUUUUUCUUUCCAAGUCUCAGAAAAACACUAGAUGAGAUAUUCCUAUUUGUGUAAAAAGGUUUGGAGAAAUUUCUCCUUAACCCACACCACUGAAUCACCCUUAUGUCAGGCUCCAUCUGUAGAAUUCUUACUCAUGUAAAUAAUAUAGGGCUUGAAUUCAUGUUUUCUCCAGUGAUUUUUAAACCCUUGCAUUUCACUUGAAAAAGAGAAAAAGGGAAUCUCAGAAGCCUGGUUUUGCCAUUUCUAGCAGUGUGGAAAGGGGCAGACAUAGAAGGAGAGUAUUUUUUGAUUGAGAGAAUAUGUAAGGUUGCGAGAUGACAUGAAUUUCAGACUUUUAUCAGUAAAAUUAAAUGUGUCGUAUUUAACAUGUAUGAAGUCCUGCUGCCGAUAAGAAUAUUGGCUAUCCAAGAGAUUUGUCAAUUUUACAAUAAUAGAACUGCCAUAAAUGAGACCAUAAUUAAAACCUUGAGAAUUAUCUGUUUCUAAAUUAGUAAGUGUUGGAAUCAAGGAUCAGUUUCUCAAAAAUUUGCUCAUAUCUGAAGCAAAACAUGUUGCCUGCUCAUUUGUGCAGACAGAUACAAGCUACAUAAGGUAGUAACCGAUGCCAUUUAACCCAGCAGGGAUGAAACAGUUACUGAAAUUGAGAAAAAACUUUUCGUGAUUUCAUGGCCAUGCUAUCAAAAUAUCUGAACAGUCACUGUGUGCACCCAGACAGUGGCAUUUGGAGUGAAGAGGCAACUCCAUGUGCAGGCGUGUUGGCACAACCAAAACUGCGGCAUGGGGUCAGGAGCAAUUGUCUAGAAACAAAAGACUAAAAUUGGUUUUCUGGCUUAAAAGAAGAAAGGAUCCUAUCAGAGUAUGCAGGUAGGAAGGCUGUAUUAAACAGAUAUGUAAAUAAAAAAAAUAUAAAUAUAUGAUAUAAAUAAAGA
rnacentral:lncRNA from 1 species